rnacentral:rRNA from 1 species
UGGGGAAUAUUGGACAAUGGGCGCAAGCCUGAUCCAGCCAUGCCGCGUGUGUGAAGAAGGCCUUUUGGUUGUAAAGCACUUUAAGCGAGGAGGAGGCUACUUGGAUUAAUACUCUAGGAUAGUGGACGUUACUCGCAGAAUAAGCACCGGCUAACUCUGUGCCAGCAGCCGCGGUAAUACAGAGGGUGCGAGCGUUAAUCGGAUUUACUGGGCGUAAAGCGUGCGUAGGCGGCUUCUUAUGUCGGAUGUGAAAUCCCUGAGCUUAACUUAGGAAUUGCCUUCGAUACUGGGAAGCUAGAGUAUGGGAGAGGAUGGUAGAAUUCCAGGUGUAGCUGUGAAAUGCGUAGAGAUCUGGAGGAAUACCGAUGGCGAAGGCAGCCAUCUGGCCUAAUACUGACGCUGAGGUACGAAAGCAUGGGGAGCAAACAGG